UACUUUGUAUAUGAGACACAAAUCUGAAAUUUUUGAAAGGUUCAAAGAAUUCAGAUGAAAAUAGAGAAAUAAAUCAAAAAAAUUUUAAAAAUACUUCGAUUAGAUCAAGGAUGCAAUACCAAUGAAAAAUUUUUUUUGAUUAUCUCAUAAAAUGGUAUUAUUUCAUAUUGGACUACUUUUAGUACAUCUCAGCUCAACG
rnacentral:lncRNA from 1 species